CGAAGCAACCACAGCUGAAGAACUACCGCAGGUUGAAUUGUUCGUGAAGGCUGGCAGUGAUGGGGCCAAGAUUGGGAACUGCCCCUUCUCCCAGAGACUGUUCAUGGUGCUCUGGCUCAAGGGAGUCACCUUUAACGUCACCACCAUUGACACCAAGAGGAGGACCAAGACAGUGCAGAAGCUAUGCCCAGGAGGGCAGCUCCCACUCCUGCUGUGUGGCACUGACGUACACCCAGACACCAACAAGACUGAGGAGUUUCUGGAGGCAGUGCUGUGCCUUCCCAGGUUCCCCAAGUUGGCAGCUCUGAACUCUGAGUCUAACACAGCAGGACUGGACAUAUUUGCCAAAUUUUCUGCCUACAUCAAGAAUUCAAAUCCAGCAUUCAAUGACAAUCUGAAGAAGGGCCUCCUAAAAGCCCUGAAGGUUUCAGAUAAUUACUUGACAUCCCCCCUCCCAGAAGAAGUAGAUGAAACCAGUGCUGAAGAUGAAGGCAUCUCUCAGAGGAAGUUUCUAGAUGGCAAUGAGCUCACCCUGGCUGACUGCAACUUGUUGCCAAAACUCCACAUAGUACAGGUGGUGUGUAAGACGCACGGGGGAUUCACCAUCCCUGAGGUAUUCCGUGGAGUGCAUCAGUACUUGAGCAAUGCCUGUGCUCGGGAAGAAUUCGCUUCCACCUGUCCAGAUGAUGAGGAAAUCGAGCUAGACUACGAGCUACGAACUAGCCAAGGCCCUCAAAUAA